rnacentral:tRNA from 1 species
GGAGAUUUGGCUCAGUGGUUGAGCAGCCUGCCUCGCAAGCACAAGGGCCUGAGUUCGAUCCCCAGUACCACCA